rnacentral:rRNA from 1 species
GCCUCUUGCCAUCAGAUGUGCCCAGAUGGGAUUAGCUUGUUGGUGAGGUAACGGCUCACCAAGGCGACGAUCCCUAGCUGGUCUGAGAGGAUGACCAGCCACACUGGAACUGAGACACGGUCCAGACUCCUACGGGAGGCAGCAGUGGGGAAUAUUGCACAAUGGGCGCAAGCCUGAUGCAGCCAUGCCGCGUGUAUGAAGAAGGCCUUCGGGUUGUAAAGUACUUUCAGCGGGGAGGAAGGUGUUGUGGUUAAUAACCGCAGCAAUUGACGUUACCCGCAGAAGAAGCACCGGCUAACUCCGUGCCAGCAGCCGCGGUAAUACGGAGGGUGCAAGCGUUAAUCGGAAUUACUGGGCGUAAAGCGCACGCAGGCGGUCUGUCAAGUCGGAUGUGAAAUCCCCGGGCUCAACCUGGGAACUGCAUUCGAAACUGGCAGGCUUGAGUCUUGUAGAGGGGGGUAGAAUUCCAGGUGUAGCGGUGAAAUGCGUAGAGAUCUGGAGGAAUACCGGUGGCGAAGGCGGCCCCCUGGACAAAGACUGACGCUCAGGUGCGAAAGCGUGGGGAGCAAACAGGAUUAGAUACCCUGGUAGUCCACGCCGUAAACGAUGUCUACUUGGAGGUUGUGCCCUUGAGGCGUGGCUUCCGGAGCUAACGCGUUAAGUAGACCGCCUGGGGAGUACGGCCGCAAGGUUAAAACUCAAAUGAAUUGACGGGGGCCCGCACAAGCGGUGGAGCAUGUGGUUUAAUUCGAUGCAACGCGAAGAACCUUACCUGGUCUUGACAUCCACGGAAGUUUUCAGAGAUGAGAAUGUGCCUUCGGGAACCGUGAGACAGGUGCUGCAUGGCUGUCGUCAGCUCGUGUUGUGAAAUGUUGGGUUAAGUCCCGCAACGAGCGCAACCCUUAUCCUUUGUUGCCAGCGAUUAGGUCGGGAACUCAAAGGAGACUGCCAGUGAUA